CUGCCUCAUUAAAAACCUUUCUAGGUAAAAAUCACCCUUGUGAGAAACCAAAGGGAAAAAGAGUACAACCAAAAGCUCUUAGUUUUAGAUUUUUAGUGUCAUUAGAGUGGCAAAUUUCACAUAAGUUACAAGAAUAGUUUCACAGUUCACACUCCUACUUCUCCAAGUCCUAGAUACUAAAUGACUUCACAAAAGUGCCGUUGCCUUCAUGGAAUAUAAUCACCACCUCCACCAGAAUCAGCAGCAGAACAGCCACAGCCACUGCCUUCAACAAAAGAUGUAAGGAUACAUAUGUUUGAUAGAAUCUAAACAGGAAUUAUAUAAGCCUUUCAUUACCUCUCCAGUUGUUGACUUGUUGUCUUCGUCUUCCAUCAAGUACCAGCAGUGGUAGAGCCGCUGCCGGUGCCGGUUAUGAGCAUGUUUAAUGUAAUCUUCCUAGGCUUGUGUAUCACCAAUGCCUAGGGGAAGGUCUAGCUUAGCUAUCAGCCUGC
rnacentral:lncRNA from 1 species